UGGUGACAGCGGAGGGAUCAUUAU
rnacentral:rRNA from 1 species